CAGUCUUGGAUAAUUUAAUUUCCUCCCACAGCAGCUAUGUAUUUACCUGCUUAUGAUGUCUGUUUUAAUUCCUAAAAGGACUGUAUACCCAAACUUUAUUUUAAAAUGUUUUCUGUUAAAUUAAAAUCUCUGUUUAUAGAAGUCACUAUUCCCUUAACCUCUAAGGGGGUUAUGUAAAUUUUAUAUUCCCUAAGGGUCACAGUCAUAUUUAGCUGUGUUCCUGUCAAUUACCAGCAAGCUCUUUUUGUACAAUUAGGGGGUGGUUAAUUCACUCUAAGUAAGGUUGCCACCUGUCUGGGGAUUAACCCAAACAGGUUGGAAGUCACAGAGAGACUUUUGAAUUGGGGUUUAAAGCUGUAGGAGUUGAUUUAUUAACUCUCUACUACUGUUUUGGUAGCAUUUUCUGGGUUCAUCAGUGGUAUUUGUGACAGAGGUGUUUUCUUGGUUUCUAUGUUUCUGAGGUUGGAAAAGUAUCUUGCUAAAAUUUUAAGUGUCACUGGAAAUCUGUGAAUGGUAGGUGUAGUCACGCUUGGUACCCAGUGAAAAUGAACAGGAAAGAUCUUCCACUCCUCUUCGUUGUUUCCAGUCUUACAAUACCUUAUCAAAUUGUUGGAUGGAUGGGAAGUGGCAUCCCUAAAUACUGUGGAUAGUUUGAAGACCAGGAUUGUGUUCAAUGGAAAUAACAUAUUAACUGGUGUGUCAGGAAAAUAAAACAUGAAGAACGUUGAUGAUGUAGUUCACAGGAGAACACAAGGAGGUAAUUUUACAGUAUUUAAAAUAAGCUGUGAGAAAUAUCCAAUUUAUUAAAGAAACAUGCUUUGCUUAAAAGUUUUCCAUUACAAUAUGUAAAAUAAAAUAGCUUACUUCAUAUGACCUAAUUUGCAUGUGACUGCAUUCCCUCUGGAGGCUGGUUCCAUGAGAAGUGUGCGCACAAUCAUGACUGACUUCUUUGAGAUCUGUCUGUGUGUGUGUGUCUCUUUCCCUCCCUCCCCCUUAACUUUCUUUUCUUUUUUCUUCUGUCCUUCCUUUCUUCAUUCCAAUUUUAAAUUAGGUGUAUUGUAUAUUAUAUAAAUAUUCUUUUUUCAAUUAUAAUCUGCUAUGGAUAUACAAUCCACAUACUAUAGCAUUCACUCUUUUUAAGUGUAUAAUUCAGUGACUUUUAGUAUAUUCACAAACUCGUGAGUCUGUCACUGUUAUCUACUUACAGAAUAUUUUAUGAGCCCAAAAAGAAACCCAGUACCUGUCAGGCAUGGCUCCCCAUUCUCACACUGGCUCACCUCAGUCCUAGGUGAUCACUAAUCUAUCUGUUUCUACUGAUUUGCCUAUCUGGACAUUUUAUAUAAUUAGUAUUACACAGUACGACUAGCUUUAACUUAGCAUAAUGCUUUUGGGAUUCAUUCAUAUUGUCUCAUUCUUUCUUACUGCUGAAAACUCCAGUGUGUGAAUACACUGCCUUUUGUUUAUCCUUUCAUUAGUUUGUAGACAUUUGGUUGUUUCCCAUUUUUGGCUGUUGUGAUUAAUGCUUGUAUGAACAUGAGUGUAUACAUUUUUGUGUUGACGUAUGUUUUUUUUUUUGAGUCGGAGUUUUGCUCUUGUUACCCAGGCUGGAGUGCAAUGGCACAAUCUUGGCUCACCACAACCUCCGCUUCCUGGGUUCAGGCAAUUCUCCUGCCUCAGCCUCCUGAGUAGCUUGGAUUACAGGCACACACCACCGUGCCCAGCUAAUAUUUUGUAUCUUUAGUAGAGACGGGGUGUCACCGUGUUGACCAGGAUGGUCUCGAUCUCUUGACCUCGUGAUCCACCCGUCUCGGCCUCCCAAAGUGCUGGGAUUACAGGCGUGAGCCACCGCGCCCGGCCUGACGUAUGUUUUGUUUCUCUUGGUUAGAUACCUUGGAGCAGAAUUUCUGGGUCAUAUGGUUUAAUCUUUUGAGGAACCGUAAAACUGGUUUUCAAAGUAGCUGCAUCGUUUUACAUUUCCCGGUAGGAACGUAUGAGGGUUUCAUUGUCUCAGAGUCCUCAUCAACACUUGUGUAUUGCGUACUUUUGAUUAUACCCUUCCUGGUGGGUGUGAAGUGGUCUCUCACUGUGGUAUUGAUUUCUGUUUCCUCAAUGAUUAAUGAUGUUGAGAAUCUUUUUAUGUGUUUAUUGGCUGUUUGUAUAUCUUCUUUGAAGAAAUAUCUAUCCAUAUUUUUUGUUCAUUUUUUAAUUGUGUUGUCGUUUUUAUUGAGUUGUAAGGGUUCUUUCCAUGUUCUAGAUACAAGUCUUAUAUAUGUGGUUUGCAAGUAUUUUUUUUCUAGUCUGUUGGUUCUCUUUUUUACUUUAUUUAUGGUGUCCUUGAGUUAUUCUUUUAUAAGGGUCUAACUUCCAGAAGGAAGGUACAGAAGAUGAAUAUAGAGAAAUCUGUAACCUUUCUAUAAGGAAAAUGUUAUCACUCUUUAGUGAAGUUAUUAAUUGUUUGAUACACUGUUUUGGUAAAAGUUGUUUUUCUUUAGACAAUAUGUUAAAAAAAUACUUGGCAAGCAAUCUCAUGAUUGUAACUUUAAAAGUUAGGCAUGUUUUAAUAUUUUCCCCUUUUCAUUCUGCCUUUUAAAGUUAUACACAAAUAUAUAUGUGUGAGAGGGUCUUGGGCUCUGUUGCUUAGGCUGGAGUGCAGUGACAUGAUCAUGGCUUCACUGCAGCCUCAACCUCUUAGGUUCAGAUGAUCCUCGUGGCUCAGCCCCCUGAGUAGCUUGGGACCACGGGUGUGCAACCACUAUGCCUGGCCUGUAUUUGAAAAUUAUUUUUACAGAUAGGGUCUCCCUUUUUUUAUCCAGGCUGGUCAUGAACUCCUGUUCUCAAGGGUUCCUCCUACCUUGGCCUCCCAAAGUGUGGGAUUAUAGGCGUGAACCAGCACACCUGGCUGGCCUAUUAUAUCUUGAUCAUAUCAUCUAAAUUGACAAUUUGAUAGGAGCGAUGUUAGUAAAGUGCUAAAAAUAAAAACUUAUAUAAACCAGUAAAAAUAAUAUUUUAAAAAAUAACUAUAAUUAUAAAGAAUCACGGGUCUAUCAACUUAAAAUGAAAAACUUAGUGGACCAUGUGUGGUGGCUCACACCUGUAAUCUUAGCACUUUAAAAAGGAUAUAGAGGCAGGCGGAUCGCUUGAAGCCAGGAGUUUGAGAAAAAUCUUAAACUCAAUUCUGUUGCCUUUAAAAAGUGAUUAACCAGAUAUGGUUUAUGAUGUAUUUCUUUAGCUGAGUGCUGGGAAGAGACCAUCACCUUUCCUGGGCCAGAAGAUCCAUGCCUGGGGAUCCAGACCAGCUAGGAGGUCUGGCUUCCACAGCCAGUUUCGCUGUAGUGCUAAGAGCAUGGCCCUGGGCAAAUCACUUACUGUCUUGGAGCUCCAUUUUGUCCAUGUGGACAGAAAGAGUUCCUGUUUUUCACACAGGAUGUGUUAAGCUUUUUAGAAGGAUGUAGUGCCAGGAUAAUGCCCUACCAAUCUGGAGGCUGGUGUUUUUGUAAAGCUGUGAAAGAAAACCUUCUACAGUCUGAGUGAGAAAAGAUGAGAGCUUCUUCCUUAUACAGCAUUCUAUGUGACCACGUGCUUCAGCUCUCUAACAUGUCAAAGCAGGGUAUGUACUUUAGAGCUCCUCUGGCUGAAUAUUGUCUAAGGGGUCUCAAAGGUUGGCUAGCUUGCUAAAGUAGUUUAUCAGCAAAAUAUGAGAAAUGGUUCACAAACUAUAAUAUGGGAAAUAUUUAAUCAGCAAGUAGGUAUUUGCAUUAAAAACAAAACAGAUGACAGCUGCAUCAAAGCACAGGGAUAAUUGCAUGUUGAAAUGAUACUCGAGUAAAGCAAGGGGCAUGUAGGAAGUCACUUCGCAUUGUGGUGUUGUAGAGAAAUACCUAAUUGCUUGUUGCUCUUGUCACUUUGCUUCUUUUAAGUGACUUAAGCAAGGUAGAUUCUUAAAUUCUGCCUUUAUAAAUCUUUUCAGUUGUGUAAUGUGAAAAUUAUUAAUGUGUGAUUAUCUAGACGUAGUUGUAUAGUAUAUCAUCUCCCUUGGAUAGUUAAUGAGAUGGCUUUUGUGCCAUUUAUCUUGGAAAAAAAAAUAGUUUUCUUUCACAUCUACUUCUUUUGCCUGCCACACUUUAUCUUUGCUUUGGAUGGGUUUAUAUAUAACUGUGUGGGUGUGUACGUGGUUGUGUAUUUAUUUUUGCUUUAAGUGUAAGGAUAAUAAUAUAUGAAUCUAGUUCUUAGCUGGAUUCUGUUGACUUAAACAAAGGUGGGUAUCUGCUCUCUGCACUGUCUACUCCCUUAAGAAAAUUAAGUGUCUGCAGAACUGAUGACCUGUUUUUAAGAGAACUGUAACAUCUUUCUAAAUGAAAAAUCAUUCCAGCAAUAUUUAAUACUGGCAAUUUUCUUCUGUCCGCUUUUAGAACUUACUGACCAACCAGGUCAGACAUUAUUAAAGUUCAGGGGGUCCAGUGAGUGGGAAGAGUAAUGAUUUUUGCUACUAUGAAUUUUAAGUGUUGCCAUUUUCAUGUGUAGCAUCUGUUCUUACAUGCCACUAAAAAUGUGUAGAAGUUUCAGACCAAAUUCAGGGUCAAGGUUACAAGAGUGAUGAUGUUUCUGACUCAUUCUCAUAGCAUUACGUUACCCAAAUUAUCUGCAUACUAUUCUGUAGUAAGAUCCUUUUUAACCAGUUAUUUGAAAGAACUUUAAAAAAGGCUUUUUUGGGGAGGUCUUAGCACUUCUUGGCAAUUUGUUUAGGUACAGUUGGAGAAUCUGUUCUGACUGAACAGGAUAGCUAUUGACUAUCCUGCACUCAAAUAGACAGUAGGGAGUGCUUUAGUUCUGAGAAAACUGUUUUUUCUACUUACCAGAAGCAAUGCCUUUUGAAUAUAAAACUCUUGGGGAGGCUGAGUCCUGUGUCACGUACUCUUUUGAGAGUCUACUCUCUAGCACAUGGAAGUUGUCAACAGGUGUUUGAUAAAUAUUUGUUGAAAUACUGAAUAAGUGAACUAACCACCUCUUGGGAGAGGCUACUAAAUGUGUAGCUAUUUAAUGUACUUUGGUGGGUUUAAUGAGAUGAAGAGAGACUGAGAAGGAAACUUUCACAGAAUUAUCAUGGGUUGGUUGAACAAAUCUGGGCAUACCUGCAUCUCUUUUGAAAUGAAAUGAAAUGUCCAUACCUUGUAAAGUCAACUGCUUUUAAAAUUUUCUUAGUAUUAUCGUUAUCUUGAAAUAGAAUAGGAGAAACAAAGUUUGUGUUUUGGGAAAUCAAAUAACUUCAUUACUAAAUUUGGUAAAUGUUUUACUAACAGAAUUGAUUGUGUCUUGUUCUAAAAACAUUUGAUAAAUGUUUGCAUUUAUCAAAUAAGUUGUUUUAUUGGUGGUAUCUCUAGCCCUACAUUCUGCUGUUCACCAAUGGUGGUUGUGAAAUAAAGUUCAUGAUUAUUAGAGGCAACUCUUAAAGGAAUAACAUAUAGUAGUAGUUUAAAAUGGCUUGUUUGUUGGAUCAAUUAAGUGAGUCAAGACAGCUUUGAAGUUGUGAAGAAACUUUUACCCAUGGUGCAUUGUUCAGAAUUAUAGCAGCUUCAUUUAUGAUUGUUGAGUUCACUUGUAUAGAGUGCUGUGCCUAUGAUAGAAACUGUUGUUUUUCCCAGGUGUCUGUUUUCUCAUUCUUCUAGUGUGAUAGAAUCCUCCAUCUUUGACCAGGAACAUGACUUCCAAGAACAGAGGCAUCUUUGUAUAUUUCAUGGCCAUGGAACUGAGUUCUGGCUAUUGCAGAGUAAGCCUAAGUUUCAUGUGACAGCUUAGUUUCAUGUGGAGGCUUCCUUAAGAGACAGCCCUUGUCUCUCUUCUUCAAGAUCCUUUCUCAAUCUUGCUUUCUGGAAUGCACAUGCCACAGUCUUAAUCGUGGGCUGAUAGAGGGGUUAGCUGAGAGGAGCCUGGGUCCCGAUGACUUCCUGGAGAAAAAUUGCUAUAGUGGAAGAGGCCGAUCUUAUGGGGAAAGACAAACAUUUCUGACUUGUAUAAUUCAUAGUUACUUGGAUCGUAUUUUCUAUCGCUUGUGGGUGAGCCUCACCCCAUCUAUGUAGAGAUAGAUGGGCUGGGUUUUAUCAGAUUGGAUUCCUAGUAUAUAAGGUCACAAUGAGGCUGCAUGAGACCAAGUUUCUCACCAUAUUCAAAGCUGUUUUAAAGUCUGUGCCUUACAAUUGCUGAUGAGUCGUGUAGCCUUUCAGUAAGCUUGGCAUGUUAUGAUACUUCUCUGGUUCUGGAUUUGGUCCAUGUCAGGACUCGUAUAUGGCUUUCACAAAUUGCCUGCAAUGACUAGUCUGUAUUAUCUUCCUGGGUAUUGUAAAGGUAGAGAACUGGGUUAGGGAGAGGUAACUGAAUAUAUAAGCCACAGGUCACAGUGCUCUAGGUCACAGUGCUCUUUUUAGGCAUUAUUAUUUUUAGUCUGGCCAUGAACAUCAUUUCUCUGAUAAAAUGUUUCCAUGAGUCUCACUAUUUGUUGAUAUCUUAAAAGGUAACAGUUGGUUGCUUGAAUAUUGUAUGUUGUAGCCAUUUUAUCAAAAUUAAAGCAGAGGCCAAAACAUACUAGGUUUUUCUUCUGUAUUUGAUAUAGCCAAAAUUUCUAAGACUUAAAAAUUAAUUAGUAGCACACACACUCUUAAUCUUCUUGUGAAGCUUAAAAUCACUAUUAAUCACCACAGUGUUUGGAAGCAAAACAGCUGCUUCAGCAAUGGCAUCUCUAUUGUGUGUUCACAUGUUGUCUUAAUGCACGUUCAUUCUCUGUGUCUGCGAGUUGCAGUGUUUUUACAUUUUCCCUUAAAAUGGAUGUGUGUGUUUGGUAUGCGGGUGUUAGGGAAUGAAAAGAGGAGGUUCAUUCUUCAUGAAGUCAUCACUUGGAAGGCCAAUAUGUCACCAUGCUAAAUAUUGAUGAUGUAAAGUUAAAAAGAUAGAAAGAUAAAAAAAGGAUUCUCUGACUUAAAGCGCUCAGUUUAAUGGAAAAGCAAAUGAAGAAAAGAAGAAUACUUCAAAUUAAAAUUCAUCUGCACAAUGAAGUGUGGUCAAAAACAUAAUUAAAGUUCAACAUGGGACUUAUUUAUGGGCUCGCUAAAUCCAGGAGUCUGAAGGGUUUCCUGAACUCUUGGUGCAAAGCAAUUCUAUUGAGAGCCCCUGAAACAGCAAUGCGAGUCCUUGCAACAGCCGAUUAAAGAUUCUUCUACCUACAUUUGUGAAUGCUUAAAAUUUAGUUUUUUAAGGACACAGCCCUUCUCAAUUUCUUGUUUUGUUUUUUGGUUUGAAGCUACAUGUUGUUUUCCUCUGGUUUUCUUCUUGGGGCAUUAUAUCAUUGUCAGAAUUCUGGUACAGUUCAGGUUUGAUGUAGUCAUUUUGGAAAUUACCAGGUAUGCUCCUUCAGAUUUUUAUUCUAAAAGCAAUUCUGAAGAACGUUUGCCUUCAUAGUGUUUCAAUUCAGUCUAACACUGGACCAGUGGGAGAAUCUAGAGAGAGUAUUAAUGAGGGAAAAUGGAUGUGUGUACAGAGAAACGUAAGUGGCGUGAUGUAGACUCUUCCUUCUUCUCAUUAUCUGGAAUUCACGUCUAAUCUCUUAACCACUGGGCGGAGGGCACAUCAUAGACUUGGUGGAAAGAUGAACUGGAGGAGUUGAGUCUCGGGGAUUUGAAGGUGCCACAUUGAGUUUUUAGAGGCUCUAUCCUUUUAGAACUAGAUGCUUCUGUGUAUGUUUUGGUAAUUUUUUUCUAAGUCUACAUUAUCUAGUCUGCAUAGAGUAAUACCAGCCUUAAGCAACUUUUAUCUAGUAUUGUUGCAAGAAUAUAAGACAGAUGAAAUUGUAAAAGUAUUAUACCUUUUUAUAUUUCAGAAUGAAAACUGUUUUUAAAAAUUAUUCUAUUGGGGCACAGGCAUGUGAGCCGGUUGGAGUUGCGGUGGUAGAAACAAUUGGGCCAAGUAGGGGACAACAUGUUGCUUUUCGAGGAGCAGGUAACAUCUAAAGGAACUGGUCUAAAUCCUAAUGCCAAAGUAUGACAAGAAAUUGCUCCUGGAAAUACUGAUGCCACCCUAGUAACUCCUGAAACUAAAAGCUCUUGGCAUAAAACAGCAGCUGUAUCAGGUGCUCAUCCUGAGGGUAAUGUGAGCUCUCAGAAGGUACUUGUAAAGACUAUGAAGUAAUGUAUUCUUCAUCUUGUGAAACCACAAGAAAUACUACAGGCAUUGAAGAAUCAACUGAUGGGAUGAUUUUAGGACCAGAAGAUCUGAGUUACCAAAUAAUGAUGAUUCUGGAGAAAGCAAUUCAGUAGUUUCUACAGAAGACCUAAAAGAAUGUCUGAAGAAACAAUUUAAAUUCUGUUUUUCACAAGAAAAUUUGUCAAAGGAUCUUUACUUGAUAUCUCAAAUGGAAAAUGAUCAGUUCCUCCCAGUUUGGGCAGUUACCAACAUGGAAGAAAUAAUAACGUUGACUGUAGACCCUGAUCUAAUUCUUUUUUAAGUGUUAAGAUUUUCUCCCAUGGUACAAGUUGAUGAGAAGCAUAAGAAAGUGAGACCAAGUCAUAAGCAUUGUAUCAUAAUUCUUAAAGAGAUUCCUGAAACAACACCAGUAGAGGAAGUGAAAGCUUCAUUCAAAAGCGAAAACUGCCCCAAAGUGGUGAUAAACUGAGUCUGCACACAGUAGCAAUUGGUAUAUCACUUUCUAGUCAGACAACAAUGCACAACAGGCUUUUAAAUACUUAAGAAGUUAAAACAUUUCAGGACAAGCCAGCUCUUACUUCAAGACACCACUGGCUCCCUUUUCCCAGUGGUAGUUUUGUGAAUGGCUUUAAUUGGCCAGGAUUGUAUAAAACAAAUGCUGCUAUGAAUAUGAGUCGACCAUUGCCCCCCCCUGCCCCAAAAUGUGUGAAGCCUCAUUUUAGGUCAUCCAGUGGUUCAGAGCACUCAGCAGAGGGCUCUGUAUCAUUGGGGGGAUGGACAGUUGAACAGAUCUAGUUCAAGAAACUUUCCAACUGCGUGGCAUAACCAAUCGUACAGUAACUGGGUAUCAGGAGCAAAUUUACCUUCAAAAGGAGGCUUCCAUUUUGCAGAUGGAACAGAAUGGGGACUAUGGAAGGGAAGGAGAACUCUUUUCAGAGGCCAAAGAUGAUGAGAAGGUGAGGAUUUCAAGACCUCAUCCUCCAACAGCUGAAUCAAAGGCUCCAACUCCAAAGUUUGACUUACUAGCCUCAAAUUUUCCACCUUUACCUGGAAGUUCAUCAAGAAUGCCAGGUGAACUUGUUUUGGAGAAUAGAAUGUCUGAUGUUGUUAAAGGUGUCUGCAAAGAAAAGGGUAAUGAAAAGUUGAGACACAACUCAGCAAGAGAAGGAUCUAAUAGAGCAUUCCUCUGUUCAGAAGGAUGGUCUCAACCAGAUGAAUAGACCAGUUUCUCCUCCAACUACUACAAAGCCAUAGAGGGUAAGUACUGCUUCACCAUGUGAUAGUAACAUAAAUGCAGCUACAGCUGUGGCUCUACAGGAACCCCGGAAGUUAAGUUAUGCUGAAGUGUGUCAGAAGCCCCCUAAAGAGCCAUCUUCAGUUCUUGUGCAGCAGCUACGGGAACUUCACUCCGAUGUAUUAUCUCCCACCAAAAAUGAAGAUAAAAAGUACAAUUUUUCUAUUUUUGUUUUUCGUUUUAAUUUGCAGAGAUUUGCUGCCAGGUUAGCUUGGAUUAAAAAAAAAAAAGGACAUUAUAUGUCCUUCAGUAUAGGAGAAGAGCAAGUGAGAGGAAAUAUUUUUUGAAGAAGCAUUUCUGUAAAAUUAGAAAUUACUUUUUAAAAUCUUUUUACAGUUUGGCUUGGAGAAUGCCAUCUCUGACUAUAUGGCCUUGUAUUUCAAAGCAGAUCAGUAGCGGGGAUGCCUAUUGUGGGUGUGAGUAUGUACAAGAGCGAUUGAAGCCAAAUCUGUUGUCAUGUGGUAAAUGAUUUAAAAACUGAAUGUAAUACUUGAGUGGAUUCUUUUCUAGUUGGAAAUUUAGUCUUUCUGAUCUUACUGAUACUUCAUUCAACAAGUUGUGAAACUCUGGUUGUACUUGGAGAUGUGACUACCAAUUGGUUUGAUAUUCAAGGAAGAAUGGGAUGGGGGUUAUUCGAAAAAUUGAAAAUUUCAUCUUGGACCUCAGUGCAUAGGUCAAAUGGAAUUCAGAGGUUUAAACUUCCCUUUGAUUUUCCCCACCCUAAAAUGGGGAUCAAAUUUUUUUUUUUCUCACUCCAUUUUUCACUCUCUCUUCUUUGCCACUCCCAAAAGCAAAAUAACCAACUACCUACUGAAUUGUGUGUUUGUAAUUGCUUUGACCAGUCUAGUCAAAUCAUAUAAAUGGUACUAAGUUUCAGAAGUGAGCGUUGAUGAAUUUACUCUUCUGUUCACAUGUUUAGAAUUUUAGGUCCCGAGAUGGUGGGGCAGACUGACUGUACAGUAAUUUAUUUGUUGUUAGUGUUAAAGAUGAAACAUUAUAACAGACUCUUAAGUGUUAAGUAGUGUAGAAGUAAAAAAUAUUUUUUUAAAGGCUUACUUUUUGGGGGGACUUAUUUCUGUUUACAAUGUAUUUAUCACCUUUCUUCCCUCUUCCCCCACACCCCAAAAAUACAGUUUGGAAUUUACUGAAACAGAAUCAGCAAGUCAUGGAAGUUUUUAGUAAAGAUAAAAAAGAUGGUUGAUGAAAAUUAAUGCAUAAUUUCUCAGUUAAUAAAGUUGUAGCUUUUACAUACUAAAUAGACAAGUUUACAUGCUGUCAUUUAGAAAAUGGCUAAAAUAUUAAAAACUGUAUUGUGUUAAUCUGUUUUAAGUCAAACCAUAUUUAGAGUUCUGUGUAAGGUGGAUUUUAUUUUUCUUUUAAGGGUUAGUUUGUAAUAGUAAGAACUGUCCCAUAUGUUAGUGAAUUACAUAUGUAUAAAUUGAAGCUGUAAAUUGUGCACCCUCAAAAGCACCAUGGUGACAUAGAGUAAAUGUCUUAGUAAUAAAGUGAAUGUAAGUGGUGGUUAAAAUUACAUUACUGUGAAAUUCAUCUUCCAACUCUAAGUUAAGCUUUGGAGAUACAUAUUAGUAGUUAACUGGUAAGAGCUUUAAAAACAUUUCACAUAAAAAAAAAAAAAACAUUUCACAUAUCUGUACAAGCUACAAUUACUAUUUCUUUGACUUAUUAGCUUGGCAGUUGCUUUUGAUUUGAUUUUUUUACGUCAUGGUAUAUAUAUAUAUUUACUCAGUUUGAAGCUAUUCAUUUCUAUACACUAUUUUUAAAAAUUACCUACUAGGUGAAACAUGCAAUCAAACUAUCUGUGCUGAAAUUUGGGGGAAGUUUAGGUUCUUUAAAAACGUAUUAAUUAUUGACUAUAUCUAUGAUAAAAGUACUUAUUUUGGUUUACUAAGAUAAUGCAGUUGGUGGAAAUGAUAAACAUUUUAAGUGUUAACAUCCUUUGAAUGCAUUGGAUUUCAAAGAAUAAACAUUUUGUAAAAAUUAAAAAAAUUAUUCUGUUGGCCUCCCUUUUAGAUGGGCAAACUCAUUGGUGCUAGCCAUUCAAAAUUGUGUGAAGGGCAGUAUCUGACAUAAUUAUAAUAUUUAGGGAAAGCAUUUGUUGGGUGACCUCACAACAAGUUCAGGUUUUUUUAUUUUCCUCCAAGGGCUUUUAAUAGAAUUGCUUUGGUCUAAGAAUUCAUGAUAGACUAAAUGAAAUCCUUCAGUUGGCUGGAUUUAGUGAAACCAUAAAUUAGCCUCAUGGUGAAUGUAUCUUUCUUUUUCCUGUUUCAUUUGACACAAUUCACUGAAAUGAUGACUACCUAUAAGUGGUUAGAAUUUUAUGUGUGGAAAACUUGAAGAGAAUAACUUUUCAAAGUGAAGUGUUUGUUUCUUUCAUCAUGGUGUCACCCUCUUGAUCUUUUUCAUUGUGCUUACGCUCAUAAAUAGAUUUCAGUAUAUGUUCCCUAAUGGUAAGAGUUUAUAUGCAAAAUAGGUUUUCUGGCAUUUUUACUGUCACAUAUAGGGUGAAGCUGGGGGUGACCCAGUUUUCCUCACUGGGCUUGAGGGAGGGGUGGGGACAGUUGGACCUUUCUAUAGACCUCCCUCUCUACUCUUUAACUGGCACAAAAGUGGUAGGAAGGAAACCUAAGCAGAUGUCUCAUUGGCAGGCCAAUGUGGAGCGCUGAGAGGCAGUGUUCAUAGCAGCACAGCAGCUGUGGGGACCUCUGUCUUGGGGAGCACAGCCCAGCAGUCAGGUUGGCCUUGGGGACAGGUUCCUGGCAUGAGCAAAUUCUUGAGUAACUGUAAUUCUAGCUAGAUUUCUAAAGACAAGAUCUACAUACACAGUAAAUCUGGGAAGUACUGUAUUUCACCCAAGCUGCCUGUGGUUGUAGACUUGAGGAAAUACGAGGAGCCAGGGUAACAGCAAAUGGGACUUAUCUUUGGGUGCCAGAGUAUUUGGCCAGAGGUACUCACUUUCUUCCCACCUGACGUUAGGUCUGUUCGGGAAGUUGUGGGCAGACCCCAGGGUAAGGUCAAGUAGCUCUAGCAGGAACCGGGCAGAGCCUGGCCUUUUAGUCAGGGGCAGGGAGCACUUCCCCAGUUGGGUCCUGUCUUGAAUCACCUCUGUGUUUGUAUCAGGGAAGGCAGCCUUUCUGACUUCCUGUGAUCUGGAGAGGCCAUUUUGGUGCUGAGAGGAUAACUGAAGCUUCUUAUAUCAAAUGCAGCCAUUUCUAAAUAUUAAGACACAUAGUUGCAUGGAGUUGCUGAUGUGCAGGGCACACAUUCAGAUUUGGGGAGAAUCUAAUAUAAUCUAAUGCAGUGUAAGCUGUGGUUCUGUAAAAUUUUACAGUUUUUUUAGGACGUUUGCAGCUUUUGGGGGCUUUCACAGGGUGUGAAUUUUGUGUUCUUUGGUUGGGUUGUGUUAUUUUGAGAACAUACGUGUAACCCAGUCACAUAUUUAGGAUAUUGUAAUUAUGCCAAAGGAAAUGUGUGUUUUUCCCCACAAAUUUUUAUUUCUUAUGAAAAUAACAUUAAAAUUAGAAAAAAAGAUGAAGAAAUCAAUUAUAAACCAAAACCCAUGGUUUUUUUUAAACAAUUUUGCCUUCUCUUUUAGACCUUGAGCAUAUGCUUCCUUGAGACUGUAAUUAUAAACAUACUAUCAAUAUAACUUUAUUUUUCUUUACUUUAAAUUUUGUUCACUUACAGCCAAUAGUUGCAUGUUAACUUUGUUGAGUGAUGAACUCAGAUCUGCCAAAUUGAACUUCGAUUUUGAAUGGUGAAUUUUAUGGUAAAAAUGGCUUUGUGUUUAGGCUCCAUUCUUUUGGCAAGUGUUGGAGUGGGGGUAACUGGUUGUUGGACGCCAUGGGCAGAAAGCUCAGUACCCUGGACAGGUCCUGGAAGUUGCUGUAGGAUGAGGGGAGCACUCCUGUGGUGUGACUGGGGACGUUGUUCUUGGUUAUAAGGCCUCUGAACCCGAUUUUCUGGUCUCCCGGUAAAUUCUAUGAGCUGUCUAAAACCUUUAGUAAAUUUCCUUUUUUGUUCAAACUAGUUUGAGUAGAUUAAGUUGUUUGCAACUAAGCAUCUUGUGAAGCAUUGGCAUAUUGGUUCUUGAAAGUAAUUUGUUUUAUCAUUUGGAGGCAGUCAUUGAGAACCUGGAGUCUAAGGGCAAACUGCCUGUAUUCAACAUGCUGGCUGUGUUAAUUUGGAGAAGAUACUUCACUUUUCUCACUUACUUUCUUCAGAAAACACUGCUAUUAUUAUAGUGAUGAUGAUUAAAUAAAACAGUAUCUGGUAGCUAAUAAGUGUUUCCCCAGUGUUGCCGUCUUUAUUGUCAUGACCAUCAUGACAGUAGGCAUUUACUGAACACCUUUUCUGUUUCAACAGAAAUGGGGAAAAGUUACAAAUCGGAUAUUCUAGCAAAAUUUAGUGUAUAACAAAGCCUAAUUGUAUUGUGCAUACUCUUAAUGACAGCUCCAUCUCUACAUAUUCUCUGAUUUCUCUUAAGACACAUAGAGAAGUAGGGAAGGCAUUUGUAGCCAUCUAAGAUUGGAUUUAUUGAAUGAACGACAUUAAGUGCUGAGAAUAACUGAUAAAAGGAUUUGAUUGUGAAUCAAGAAUAAAUGGCUUGUGGUAAGAUUUAAAAUUGUGUGUUUAGUAAGAGAAGAGCUUAAUGCAUUGUAAGGCAUUCCAUUUGUUGUUUUAACAUUGCCAACAUUUAUUAUUAAAGUGGGUGUUUGUAGAAUAAUUAUAAUCCGUAUCAUGAUGAUGAUGAUGAUGAUGUUUUUAGAGAAGAUUGAAAAUCUACAGUUUUUUUCCAAACUAAUAAAGUAAGGAAAACAUGUCAUUUACUGAGGUUUCAAAUAAUUUGCUUGACCUCAGGAGAGUACUACUGAAAUUAUUUAAAGGAACGACAUGUUCAGUAAGGUACUUGUACGCAAAUUUUUGCAUUUCCUUGUUAAAUUCUUAAAAGUAUCAGCUUGGUAAUUGGGGGUUGAGAUGGGAGUAAGAAACAGAAGACAGGGAAAAAUAUGAGGUUAUUAAUAAAAUUAUUUUAAUAUAACUGAGAAUUUCUUUGAGAAGAGAGUGGUAAAGAUGGUAGUUAUACCAACAAUCUUUAUAAAUUAUAAGAAUUAUAAAGUGACAAUGGCCAAUCAUUUUUACUGGUUUUAUAGGAGGUUUCUGUGACCUAUUAAAUUAAGAAAGAUUAGGGGGGCAGAACAUAUAUUUUUGUGCGGAAAAAGAAUAAGGAAAUAUUUGAAUUGUUUUAGAAAAUAUUCUAAAAUUUUUUACUCUGUGGAAAGGUUCAAAAGUAAUUGCGCUUAUUAGACAUAGACUAGUAGCAUUAUGGUCACAGAAUUAAAUUUAGCCUCUAGACGUUCAUUCACUAUGAUUGCAUAGAAUUAGUAGAAUGUCUUAGGUAUUCUCGCGGGAUUUCAUAAAAUGAAGAAUUCUCUGAUAAGAGCGAUUUAUUCAUGGGAUUUUCUGUAUAAGUAAAACCAUAAAAUAUUUGAAAUUUAGUGGAAAAAACUGGGCUCCACGGAAGAAAAGUAGAUUGCUUCAUAAAACCCAACGUAUGUAACUAACCUGUUACAGCCACAGACUUGGUUUUCUGUGAAAGUUUUUAGAACUUGCUUUUCAAGAGAGAGACUCAGAGUUUAACUCAGGAGAGGUUGGCCCAGUCCUGGAUUUUGAAGAAUUAAUUAGCUACCUGAGAAUAUUGUAGGAAUAAUUAAUCACAACCCUCAGUGUGGCUUAUUACGUAAGGAUCCCCAGUGCCUUAGUGUGCUUCAGAUUGCCUUAGCAAAGUACCAUGGAAUGGGUAACUUAAACAACAGAAAUUUAUUUUCAUACAAGUUCUGGGGGCUGGAAGUUUGAGAUCAGGGUACCACCAUGAUCAGGUUCUGGUGAGGGCCCUCUUCCUGGCUUGCAGGUGGCCACUUACUUGCUGUGUCCUAGCUUAGCCUUUCUCAGUGAGUGCAAGGAGA